UACGUAGGGAGCAAGCGUUGUUCGGAUUUACUGGGCGUAAAGGGCGCGUAGGCGGCCUGUCGAGUCAAUUGUGAAAUCUCCGGGCUUAACUCGGAACGGUCAAUUGAUACUGUCAGGCUAGAGUGCAGAAGGGGCAAUCGGAAUUCUUGGUGUAGCGGUGAAAUGCGUAGAUAUCAAGAGGAACACCUGAGGUGAAGACGGGUUGCUGGGCUGACACUGACGCUGAGGCGCGAAAGCCAGGGGAGCAAACGGG
rnacentral:rRNA from 1 species